CUUUAGAUACAUCUUUCUUAUGUUUCCUUCAUAAAAAAUUUUUAUGAUUCUUUCCUAGAUAUUUAUAUAGAUAAAACCCAGCCAAAACUAGUAGAGGUGGGCCUUACAUUACAAAUAGCAAGAACAGUAGAUAAAAUUAUGAAACAUAAGUUGUUCCAAUAUGUGUGGAAGCAUGAAAGAAUAACAGCACCAGUGUACCCAAAAUUUUUUAGAUAAAUAAAGACUCACAAGACUCCAUUAACAGUGAAGCCAAUAGUUGAGAAAAGGACAGCACCCACAUAUAACCAAAAAGUGCAUGGCAAUAUUAGGGGAGAUGGAUUUAUCCUCCACCACAACUUCAAAAGUCUUGGCAAGAAUACGCAAUGUGAAAUGGGACCAAGGUGACAUAUUUGUGACAUAUGACUUCGACAAUUUCUACCCAUCCUUAUAUCUUGAACUGACAUGCCUGGCAUUCUAUAAAUUUAUGCUUGAAAACAUCCCAGAAGCCCAGGAGAGAGCACCAUUAUUAAGAGAAAUAGCUCACAUAAUAUGCUAAGCUCAUAUUUUAAAUUUAGAGGAAGAAUUUAUGGGCAAACUAGGUGCAUACCUAUAGGAAGCCCCAUAGCAGGAGCCCUGGCAGAGAUAGUACUGAGAAAUAUUGAGAACCAGCAAAUACAAAAUUUCCAAUCUACCUUAAAAUUCUUUACAAGGUGCUUAUACAAUGUUCUAUUAUUCUUUCUUACUGCUCUUAAGGGAACUAUCAGUUACUUAUUUUUCCUUAGCACUAACGAGCAGAUCCGGUAC
rnacentral:lncRNA from 1 species